rnacentral:rRNA from 1 species
UACAGGGGGGGCAAGCGUUGUUCGGAAUUACUGGGCGUAAAGGGCUCGUAGGUGGCCAACUAAGUCAGACGUGAAAUCCCUCAGCUUAACUGGGGAACUGCGUCUGAUACUGGAUGGCUUGAGUUUGGGAGGGGGAUGCGGAAUUCCAGGUGUAGCGGUGAAAUGCGUAGAUAUUGGGAGGAACACCAGUGGCGAAGGCGGCUCACUGGACCGGAACUGACGCUGAGGCGCGAAAGCGUGGGGAGCAAACAGG